rnacentral:rRNA from 1 species
UACGGAGGGUGCAAGCGUUAUCCGGAUUCACUGGGUUUAAAGGGUGCGUAGGAGGGCAGGUAAGUCAGUGGUGAAAUCUCCAAGCUUAACUUGGAAACUGCCGUUGAUACUAUCUGUCUUGAAUAUUGUGGAGGUGAGCGGAAUAUGUCAUGUAGCGGUGAAAUGCUUAGAUAUGACAUAGAACACCAAUUGCGAAGGCAGCUUACUACACAAAUAUUGACGCUGAGGCACGAAAGCGUGGGGAUCAAACAGG